AUGAAACGUAACAGGGCACCUGGCCCGGAUAAUAUUCCUGCUGAGUUUUACCAGCAUUGCUGGGAAAUUAUGAAAAAGGAUAUUAUGAGAAUGUUUACUGCUUUUCAUGCGGGGGAGCUUGAUGUUAGUAGGCUGAACUAUGGCAUUAUAACUUUACUACCCAAGAUUAGUGGGGCCAAUAAGAUCCAACAGUUUAGGCCUAUAUGCUUGCUUAGAUGCCCUUACAAGCUAAUUACUAAGGUGCUUGAUAACAGGGUGAUUCCCUUUGCUGGCAAGCUGUUUAGCAAACAUCAGAAUGCUUUUAUCAAACAUCGAAGUAUUAUGGAUGGGGUUUUGUAUUUGCAUGAGAUAUUGCAUCAUACUUACGUUAAGAAAAAAGUUGGUAUUGUUAUAAAGCUUGAUUUUGAGAAAGCUUAUGACAAGGUAAAUUGGACUUCCUGUUGGAAUGCCUUGAGAUGA
rnacentral:rRNA from 1 species